AAGGGAUAUAUGAGGAGUAGGGAGACUGCCACGUCUGCAAAUAAAAUCAUCCAAUCAUUAUGUGACAUGUCAGCCAAAACUACAUACUCAUCUCAACUAUAGGAUACCUUUCGUCUUCUCCACGAGUCCUUGCAAAAAUUGGAUUGUUACAUCUUCCAAAAAUUCUUCGUUCGUUUGGCUUAAUUCCAGGGAGAUAUUAAAUCACUCAUUUAUUUAUUCAUUUUCUUUCCCUUUGAUAAAGCAUUCUACAUCCAAUCUCCAAGAUCCAGAUUUCUCUUCAGAUGACCCUGGAAGUUCUCUUUGCAGUGGCCGGACCGUGAAGUGCGGUGCAGAUGCAGCACACGGCGGGCGACUACUUUCCCUUAUCGGCAAAAAGCUUUAUCUCCAUGUAUGUAUGACAACUUUAGAUCUCUCUCUCUCUCUCUCUCCCUCUUUCGGUUUACUUAUUUUGUUUCCCCUUUUCUAUUUCUUUGGAAAAUAGUAGAGUUUUGAUGCAGAAUAUUGCGGAGCCAUAAGUCCAAGAAAGGUUAUUGUGCACAUCUUUCUUGACUUUCUAUAAGUUCUCAUGUUUUAAUAUUGAGACACUGUAGAGAAACGUCUGAAAGGUGCGGUGGAUAGAGCUAAAGAGAGUUCUCAAGACAAAGAAUACUUAAUUAUAUGUUUCAGCAAUUUUAUAAAACGGCAAAUCCAAAGAUCCCUUUGAAACUACAUGACCAGAGAUAUGAGAAUAUACAAAGAUAAUGUCGAAUUGGAACUGGUGGUCGUUGGUGUUGAGCCAUCAGAAAGAAGUACAAUUUCUGUAGACAGUACUGGUAAGGAGAAUUCAUCAGUCAUACUAAUUCAAAACUUCUCAAACUGGAAUUUUUCACUUUGGCAUCUUCCUUAUAGAACACUACUACAUGUUUUGUACAGGGGGUUAAGUUACUUGAUGAAGUGUUCUAAGGUAUUGGGUUGGUACUUUGUGCGGGGGGGGGGGGGGGAACAUAAUACAUACAUCAGGUCGAGAUUUCAUCUGGAGCUGCUGUAGUUGCAGCAAUUAGCUUAUCUAAAAGGGCCUGCAUUCGCAGGGAAACUCAUCAUCAUCACGGUAAAUAAAUAAUAGAUUUCACUUUCCUGUAAUCGUGUUACUGGUUUAGUUUUUGAGCUUUCGAUUUACUAAGAAGUAUGUGACACAAGAGAAAGUGAUGGAAUAGCUUCGUCAGAUGAAUUGAAACAAAGAGGAUUUGAUAUACUAAUGCUAUCUGAAUUGAUGGAGCUGGAGGCUAUGAAAUCAAGUUCUCAGCUAAACCAUAUGGUGCUUCCUCGGUUCUUAAAUUGAAACAUGAAUAGGCAAGACAGUUUUGGAUCUGGUGAAGAAUAUUAUGGAUCAAGCUUUCUCUGUGAAAUUGAAUGGUCAUGUACUCAUGUUCAGUUCUCCUCAAAUAGUAAUGCUGAGUUGAAUGAUCUUCUUUCGAUUAUUUCUGAGUUCAAUUUGACAAAAUAUUCAGCAAAAUGGAGGCAGCUCUCACCGCUUAUCUCGCAUUUUCAGAGAUUAUAGCUUUGAAGGAAUGAGACACAGAUUAGUCUCUGAGGAAGCAAAAGCCACAACCAAGUACUUUAUUUCCUGAUCUGAAACAUCGUAUAUCCUAUGUAAAUUAGAUGUCUCUUUGAUGACCUGAAGAACAUAUAAAUUGUUUUUGUGUUGUGAGUCAAGAAAAAGAUUACACGAUUUGUAAUGUGGAGUGAUGUAGUAAAUAAUUAUUUGUUUGUUUUACUAUUCAAAUAAUAUUUGUGAUUUUGUGGAGUC